rnacentral:rRNA from 1 species
CCUACGAGUGGCAGCAGUGGGGAAUAUUGCGCAAUGGGCGAAAGCCUGACGCAGCGACGCCGCGUGAGGGAUGAAUGUCUUCGGAUCGUAAACCUCUGUCUGCAGGGGAGUACAGUCACUGUGCUAAUCAGCAGUGAAUUGACGGUACCUGCAAAGGAAGCACCGGCUAACUCCGUGCCAGCAGCCGCGGUAAUACGGAGGGUGCGAGCGUUAAUCGGACUUACUGUGCGGAAAGCGCUCGUAGGUGGUAUGUCAAGUCAAGGGUGAAAUCCCCGGGCUCAACGUUGGAACUGCCUUUGAAACUGGCAAACUGGAGUGUGUGAGAGGAUAGUGGAAUUCCAGGUGUAGGAGUGAAAUGCUUAGAUAUCUGGAGGAACAUCAGUGGCGAAGGCGACUCUCUGGCACAUAACUGACGCUGAGGAGCGAAAGCGUGGGUAGCAAACAGGAUUAGAUACCCGAGUAGUC